UACGUAGGGGGCAAGCGUUGUCCGGAAUCAUUGGGCGUAAAGCGCGUGUAGGCGGCUCGAUAAGUCUGCUGUGAAAGUCCAGGGCUCAACCCUGGGAUGCCGGUGGAUACUGUCGAGCUCGAGUCCGGAAGAGGCGAGUGGAAUUCCUGGUGUAGCGGUGAAAUGCGCAGAUAUCAGGAGGAACACCAAUGGCGAAGGCAGCUCGCUGGGCCGUGACUGACGCUGAGACGCGAAAGCGUGGGGAGCAAACAGG
rnacentral:rRNA from 1 species